UCCCAACCAAACAACACUGUACAUUCCCUUCUCUACGCCACCUCCUCCAUCUCCUGCCGCCGAUCCAAGCUCCGACCAUGCCGGCACCUGCACCUCUGGCGCUCGGCUUCGCCAUCGCCCUCCGCGCCGCUUCGACCUAUUACCGGUGUCGCCUCCCCAAUCCUCCAGCACCGUCUCCUCUCCCAUGGCAACCGCUGCAGCUUCUAAAAUGUGCAACCGCCGGUCAGCUCAGGACGUGGGGACUGACGAGCGUGGUGGCUUGAACCUCACCCAGUACAAAACGCCCCAAGCCCUCAAAGAUCCUCACUUCCUCUCCUCUUGCCUCCCGUCGCCUCUCAGACCACAGAAACGUUGCUGACAUCGCCGGCACCGGACACGCCCCCUUCCGCCACGGAAGUGUUAGUCUGCUCCACUCAUCCAUAUGUUCUCCACGCUACUGCUACAUGCUCGCUCUUGCAGGUGGAGGCGGUGGUUCUGGAGGGGGACAUCAUAGCACCGCGGAGGCGCUUGCGAGGUACACGGCAGAGUCCGGCGUCAGCAAUCUUCUGCUCGGAUCCAUUUCCUUGAGCUGGGUCAGUAGGUCACACCAAUACUCUGACUCCGGCAGUGAUUGAGCUAACUGAUAUUGCUUAUUCUGAAAAGGGGACGAAGUAGUAGCCAAUCCAAUUCAAAAUCAGCGAACUUGGUAUACAUGCUAAUUCGAUACCAGUACAUAUGCUACUCUUCUUUCCAUGAUAGACAUGAUAUUGUCAAUUUGUAACUAGAUGCUCAAAAUAAUUUUUGAGUCAAGUAAAAAGACCAUGGAACUAGGAAACUACAAACUAUAUCUUAAGUUUACUAGCUGAA